rnacentral:rRNA from 1 species
GACGAACGCUGGCGGCGUGCUUAACACAUGCAAGUCGAACGCUGAAGCUCAGCUUGCUGGGUGGGUGAGUGGCGAACGGGUGAGUAACACGUGAGUAACCUGCUCUCUUCUUUGGGAUAACGCCCGGAAACGGGUGCUAAUACUGGAUAUUCACUGAUUCUCGCAUGGGGGUUGGUGGAAAGGUUUUUUCUGGUGGGGGAUGGGCUCGCGGCCUAUCGGCUUGUUGGUGGGGUGAUGGCCUACCAAUGCUUGGACGGGUAGCCGGCCUGAGGGGGUGACCGGUGACGGUGGGACUGAGAUACGGCCCAGACUCCUACGGGAGGCAGCAGUGGGGAAUAGUGCACAAUGGGCGAAAGCCUGAGGCAGCGGCGCCGCGUGAGGGAGGGGGGUCUUCGGGGUGUAAACCUCUUUCGCUCAUGGUCAAGCCGCAGCGUUGGGUUGUGGUGAGGGUAGUGGGUAAAGAAGCGCCGGCUAACUACGUG